rnacentral:rRNA from 1 species
GGCUCAGAUUGAACGCUGGCGGCAUGCCUAACACAUGCAAGUCGAACGGGGGCAGCAAUGCCCUAGUGGCGGACGGGUGAGGAACGCGUAGGAAUUGACCCACGAGUGGGGGACAACCUGGGGAAACUCAGGCUAAUACCGCAUACGCUCGCGAGAGGAAAGCGGGGGAUCUUCGGACCUCGCGCUGGUGGACAAGCCUACGUCCGAUUAGCUAGUUGGUGGGGUAAAAGCCUACCAAGGCGACGAUCGGUAGCUGGUCUGAGAGGAUGAUCAGCCACACUGGGACUGAGACACGGCCCAGACUCCUACGGGAGGCAGCAGUGGGGAAUAUUGGACAAUGGGCGCAAGCCUGAUCCAGCAAUGCCGCGUGGGUGAAGAAGGCCUGCGGGUUGUAAAGCCCUUUAAGCGGGGAGGAAAGCCGGGGUGCAAAUAGCGCCUCGGGGUGACGUUACCCGCAGGAUAAGCACCGGCUAACUCCGUGCCAGCAGCCGCGGUAAUACGGGGGGUUGCGAGCGUUAAUCGGAAUGACUGGGCGUAAAGCGUGCGUAGGCGGUGUAAUCAGUCAGCCGUGAAAGCCCCGGGCUUAACCUGGGAAUGGCGGUUGAGACAUAGAGUGGGCUAGAGGACUGUGGAACUCCCGGUGUAGCGGUGAAAUGCGUAGAGAUCGGGAAGAACACCGAUGGCGAAGGCAGCAGUCUGGGGCCACACUGACGCUGAGGCACGACGGCGUGGGGAGCAAACAGGAUUAGAUACCCCUGGUAGUCCACGCGGUAAACGAUGAACACUAGACGCCGGGGGGGUGACUUUUCGGUGUCGUAGCUAACGCGCUAAGUGUUCCGCCUGGGGAGUACGGCCGCAAAGUUGAAACUCAAAGGAAUUGACGGGGGCCCGCACAAGCGGUGGAGCAUGUGGUUUAAUUCGAUGCAACGCGAAGAACCUUACCUGGCC